rnacentral:rRNA from 1 species
UACGUAGGGGGCAAGCGUUGUCCGGAUUUAUUGGGCGUAAAGAGCGUGUAGGCGGCCAAAUAGGUCGGUUGUGAAAACUGGAGGCUUAACCUCCAGACGUCGACCGAAACCAUCUGGCUAGAGUCCGGAAGAGGAGAGUGGAAUUCCUGGUGUAGCGGUGAAAUGCGCAGAUAUCGGGAAGAACACCCGUGGCGAAGGCGGCUCUCUGGGACGGUACUGACGCUGAGACGCGAAAGCGUGGGGAGCGAACAGG